rnacentral:rRNA from 1 species
AGUGAACGCUGGCGGCGUGCUUAACACAUGCAAGUCGAACGAGAACGGGUUAUAGCUUGCUAUAAUUGUCAGCUAAGUGGCGCACGGGUGAGUAAUGUAUAGGUAAUAUGCCUCUUACUAAGGGAUAACAAAUGGAAACGUUUGCUAAUACCUUAUACUCCUUAUUAACAGAAGUUAAUAAGGGAAAGAUUUAUUGGUAAGAGAUUAGCCUGUAUUGUAUCAGUUAGUUGGUGGGGUAAUGGCUUACCAAGACUAUGACACAUAACUGGUUUGAGAGGAUGCUCAGUCACACUGGAACUGAGACACGGUCCAGACUCCUACGGGAGGCAGCAGUGGGGAAUAUUGCACAAUGGACGAAAGUCUGAUGCAGCAACGCCGCGUGGAGGACGACACAUCUCGGUGCGUAAACUCCUUUUAUAUGAGAAGAUAAUGACGGUAUUAUAUGAAUAAGCACCGGCUAACUCCGUGCCAGCCGCCGCCGUAA